UACGUAGGUGGCAAGCGUUACUCGGAAUCACUAGGCCUAAAGCGCAGGUAGGUGGUUGAAUAAGUCUGUUGUGAAAGCUCCUGGCUUAACUGGGAGAGGUCAGCAGAAACUAUUUGGCUAGGGUAUGGCAGGGGAAACUGGAAUUCCCGGAGUAGCGGUGAAAUGCAUAGAUAUCGGGAGGAAUACCGAUGGCGAAAGCAGGUUUCUGGGCCAUAACCGACACUGAGCUGCGAAAGCUAGGGGAGCAAACAGG
rnacentral:rRNA from 1 species